GUGCUCGGAGCGCUGGCGGGUGCUGGUGGACGAGGUCGGCCUAAACACCGCGGUGAGAAUGAGGUGUUUUCGUGAGAGGUAUGAUGGAGAGGAAGUUUUCGGUGGUGCCCAAAACAUUAUACAGAAGCAGUAAGUCCUUCAUGGAAGCACCAUCAGAAGUAGAAGAAUACUUGGUACACACAAGCGGAUUUUCCUGAAAGCUAUAAUGGCAUGAACAGUUUCUAAUAAUGGGAAUGUCAGGUGUCCUGAUGAAAGAUUCCUGUAGUACAACAGAUAGAGGCUUCGUCCCAGUAUGUGAUUGAAUGUCUUUGCAGAGAUGCUUGAAGGCUGCUUCUCAAUUGAAGGAAAAUGGUCAAAAAUGUAGGAACAAAUGCUUUUAGCUUAUUCAGUGAUGAGUUGGAACACUUCGUCAGUGCUGCCUGACAAAUGUGGAUGACCUGUAACUGGAAGGAAGUGUAACACCCAAAGAGUUUUUGUGGCUUGGAGUGGGAUGCCAUGCUUUUCAAAGCCUGCUGAAACAGCUGCUGCAAUUUUGUUUAGCAGAUACUGUUUUCAUAAACAGCAUGUGAACCAAAAUCACUGUCUCUGCAUAUUUAAAAUAGCGCUUUUCCCAAAACAUUGAGCUGCCCUCUGUAGGAAGGAUAGCAGUGAUAUUAGGGAAAUGAGUGUUGAGCUUCAAUACAUGGAAAAAACCCUGAGACUAUUUGCCUUUUUAAAAUAUUAUAAGGUUAUACAGACUUGUUAUUACAGAUUUUCAGUAUCAAUACAAAACUGUGGAACUCACAGGUAGGCCCUGUAAAGAUGGGGAGAAAGCAAAAUGUGGAUACACAUUCAAACCAAUGAGUGCUUUUUGAGGAUGGUGUCAUCUGGGAGAUAGGAGGAAAUAGAUGAGGUGAUGGUGGUAUGAAAGCAUAAACAUGAAACACUUGUUAAAAAAAAUAAAUAAAAAUUCAGGUGUCAUGAAGAAAGUUGUGGUUAUGGAAAAGGCAAGGUCUAAAGCUUGUAUUGCCGUUUGUAACUAGUGAAGGAGGAAUUGGGGUUUUAUGGCCUGCCACUUCAGCAUGAAAAGACCGGAACAGUGGAACUGCCCUUUGAGGAAUAUGCUGGCGAUGUUACCUGCUUGCUGUGUGUGGGAAAGAGCUCAGUAGUGGGAGAAGGGAGUACACGCAUUGGAACUUGCGCUUUGAGCAGUCACUUGAAAACUAACGGUGCUGUAUCACAGUAAUGGCGUAUUUGCUGUAUUCAGCAAAUAGGCACUCUUCAACAGGGGAGUGAGGGAUCAUAAAUUGGUCACCAGCUAAAUUGGAUUUUAAAGAUGAAUCAUUAUGUACAUAAGAUGUAAUCUGCCUUAAAGCAUGACUCUCAAACCUAAUUGUCAGGAAUGCUUUAUAAAGGAAGAAAUGUGAGAAUGGCAUGAUACCUAAAAAUUGAUAGAGCUACAGUUAGAGUCAUUUCGGAAUGCAGCAAAAUACAGAAAAAGUACCCUAUAGUCUGCAGCCAAAAAUGACAGCAUUGGAUGCCAGCAGCUCUCUUCCUUUAGAGAGCUGGAGGAAUUCCUAUAGCUCAUGGAAUGUGCCUAUUUCUAAAUUACAAACUCCAUGAAAAGCAGUAUCAUGCAGUGCAAAAUGCUACCAGUAGCAGCGCCUAAAGCAUUGGGAAUGUCAAAAAUAAGUAUCCGACUACUAAAAUGUACACAAAGGAUCUGACCGAACUCCAGGAGUGUAUUGGCUCACUGAGCAUCUCCUAUGGUUUGGUUAUUGUUAAUAAGCAGCAACCAGCUACUUUGGCUAAAGGCUGCUCCUUUUCAGCAAGCAACUGUGUAAAUAAGUCUAUGGGAUGUAUCAGAAUCUGCAGAAAUUUACUACAGAACAGCUUUCCCUUCAUUGCUUUCAACAGGAUUUAUUAUUUCUGUUAAUAAAUGUUACUGACAAGGGUAGGUAUUUCCACAUGCUGUGUUUUGUAUGUGCUCUUUCUUGAAUAAAGAUGAGGAUGUGAAAAACCUA